rnacentral:rRNA from 1 species
GUGUCAGCAGCCGCGGUAAUACGGAGGAUCCAAGCGUUAUCCGGAAUCAUUGGGUUUAAAGGGUCCGCAGGCUGGCUUUUAAGUCAGUGGUGAAAGUCAUCUGCUUAACGGGUGAUGUGCCAUUGAAACUGGGAGUCUAGAGUAGUCGGGAAGUGGCCGGAAUGAGUAGUGUAGCGGUGAAAUGCAUAGAUAUUACUCAGAACACCGAUAGCGAAGGCAGGCCACUACCGAUUGACUGACGCUGAUGGACGAAAGCGUGGAUAGCGAACAGGAUUAGAAACCCGCGUAGUCC